rnacentral:lncRNA from 1 species
CCACACUAAAAACGCAAGGUAUUUUAGAAUACCUCAGACAAGGAAAGUGUGUACAAGGAAUGUGGAAGAGAACAACAUGAAUGGCUGCGGAAUGUGUAAGAGAACAACAUGAAUGGCUGCGAACCCUGGGCGAACAGGAAGGAUUUGAACCCAAGACCUUAGCGCCCUAGAACCAUACUGUACCAUGACAGCAAGUUAAGCCGUCGACAUUAAAUUUCCUCUACUAAGUAUUUAUUCUAUUGUAGACAAUUUUAUGUUAGCUACCACGUACAAUACCUCUACAGGAUUAAUCGUUGCCCUUU